AUUGAACUUUGAAAGACAGCGCUGUCCAAUGGCUAUUGCUUUGGUGGUAUCACAUAACAUUUGUGAAUGGUAGAGUGAACGACUGGCUUUGCCAAACUGAAAGCCAUUUGACCGUAAAUACACUUGUGCAAUAUUUGUUUUCAGACAUACCGUUGCGUUUUGUUCUCAAAUUACAUAAUAGUUAAGAUAGAAAAAAAUCAGUCCAGAAUAAAUUAUAUUCAUUAAAUCCUUAAAUAAAGAUGAUAUCGAGCGAUUAUUUAUCUUAUAGAUACUAUAAGAUAAAUAUUUAUAAUCUUUUUCGAUAAUAAUUUAUUGUUUUCAACAUAAUUAUUUAUAAUGGUUAAACAAACCGCUUUGCUAAAUGUCAAUUACACCCAACAUAAACUACUAAGUUUUCGUAAAUUUUCGUGUUUUCUUUUAUCUGAAGUGUUUUCCACGUGUUUUCAUCUUUGUUUGAAAUAUAUACGAGUAGGUCUAUACUGCCGGAGCCGGAUUUUAUGCAAAAACUGUCGGAAGGGGUUGGUUAGGCGGUACGUGCUCGGCUCGUGGAGCUGGAGGAGCGUCGGCUCCGCCAGACGGAUCGUCGCAUCGACUUUGAGGAGCGUCGGCUGGCUGUGGAGACGCAACAACUCGCCGUGGAGGAGCGACGACUCGCCUUUGAGCAGGAACUAGGAACGCCAACUCGCCCCCUAAAACAUGUUAUAAUAUACUUACUGUGAUUUUUAUUAUUUAAUUGUAAUAUUGCUAUAAUAUACUGUGAUAUUUAUGUAGAUCCAUGGUAAAUUAUUAUAAUGACUGUUUAGAUAAUAAAUGCAACAAAUUAAUACAUACUUAACUGUGAUUUUUAUGUAGAUCUAAGGUAAAUUAUUAAAAUUGCCAUGUUUAGGUAAUAAAUGCAACAAAUGAAAACAUAAUAUUAUAGGUACUUUUUUAUGCGAGAGGCCUAUAUAGUUAGGUGAUACUAGGCCACAAUUUUUUUCUGGUAAGUACAUUCCAUUCCCAUAAAAGGCAACAGCAGCAAGAAUCUAAAA